rnacentral:rRNA from 1 species
GCCAAAAAGUGAUCGCCCUGCUAGAUAUGGGCGUACCGCAAGGUCGAGGACUCUUACGAUUCCGAAGUCAUUGGCAGCAGAACCAAGAAAAGCCGAUCCCGGACAAGAAUUGUGCCCGUACUAAGACUGACACAGGUAGGCGAGAAGAAUAUUCUCAGGCGCUCGAGAAAACGCUGGUUAAGGAACUCGGCAACAUAACCCCGUAACUUCGGGAUAAGGGGUGCCUCUGGGGGUGUUAAAGCUUCUGGGGGCCGCAGAGAAAUGGGUCUAGCGACUGUUUACUAAAAACACAGGUCUGUGCCAAGGCGCAAGCCGACGUAUACAGACUGACGCCUGCCCGGUGCCGGUAAGUUAAGGGAGACGGUUAUCCAAUUUAUUGGAGAAGCUGGCAACCGAAGCUCCGGUAAACGGCGGCCGUAACUAUGACGGUCCUAAGGUAGCGAAGUUCCUUGUCGGGUAAGUUCCGACCUGCAUGAAUGGCGUAACGACUGGACCACUGUCUCAACCAGCGACUCGGUGAAACUGUAGUUGUCGUGAAGAUGCGACAUACCCGCACUUAGACGGAAAGACCCCGUGAACCUUUACUGUAGGAUAAUAUUGGGUUUAGACCCAACAUGCGUAGUGUAGCUGGGAGACUUUGAAGGGUGAUCCCCGGAUCAUCUGGAGUCGACGAUGAAACACCAGCCUUGUUGUGUUUGAAUUCUAACGCCUGCCCAUGAAUCUGGGGGGCGGACCGUGUUAUCUGGGCAGUUUGAUUGGGGCGAUCUCCUCCCAAAGAGUAACGGAGGAGUCCAAAGGUACCCUCAGCCCGGUCGGCAAUCGGGCAACGAGCGUAAAGGUAGAAGGGUGCUUGACUGCGAGACCGAUGGGUCGAGCAGGCACGAAAGUGGGGCUUAGUGAUCCGGCGGUUCCGCAUGGAAGGGCCGUCGCUCAACAGAUAAAAGGUACUCCGGGGAUAACAGGCUUAUCUCCUCUGAGCGUUCAUAGCGGCGAGGAGGUUUGGCACCUCGAUGUCGGCUCAUCGCAUCCUGGGGGUGGAGAAGCUCCCAAGGGUUUGGCUGUUCGCCAAUGAAAGCGGUACGUGAGCUGGGUUUAGACCGUCGUGAGACAGGUCGGUCCCUAUCUGGUGCGGCGUAGGAGACUUGCGCGGUUUUUUCUCUAGUACGAGAGGAUUGAGAAGGACGAACCUCUGGUGUGCCAGUUGUCCCGCUUGGGGCACCGCUGGGUAGCCAACGUUCGGCCAGGAUAAACGCUGAAGGCAUAUAAGCGUGAAACCCUCCGCAAGAUCAGGUCUCCCGCUAUUUAUAGCGAAGGCUCCUCGAAGACCACGAGGUCGAUAGGCCGGAUGUGUACGAGUGGUUAACACUCUGAGCGGACCGGUACUAACAGCCAAGCGCUUGACCGC